GCAACUUCAACAACUGAAUAUGGACUAUGCCCUGAUAUUGGUUUGAUCAUCUCCACACAGCAAAUUGGUAAUAUCAGAUUCAUGGAACAUAAGUUACACACCAGCACCCUAACUGCAAGGGCCAGGAGAAUAAAUGGAGAAUGUCUGCCUCUUCUGCUUUCAAAUUUAGGAAAUAUCCUGAGACUUCACAUACUGAGACUUCCCCAAUGUGGAUAAUAGAAAAUAUUAUGUGGGACAGUCAAACAAAGCAAAACAAACCAACUAUCAAAUGAGAAGUAGCAUAUGUCUUCUCACACAUUUAAUAAGAAUGUGAUUUUGUGAAGGACUAUUCUAAUAUUUGUUUCUGUUAAUAGAAGAAUCUUGCCACAGGAUUGAUAUGCAGUGAUCAAUCUUAUUAGGUUGAGCUGAUUAUGUGUUUAGUUUUGCCUCAGGACAACUAUAUUUCAAAGGAAAUUACAGUCUGCCGUAAAACUCCUCAGAGUAACAGCAAGAAAUUGCAAUCAUUCAUUGAUCGAUGGAGAGCAAAUAUUUACCUUCAGAAAAAAGUCAAAGCUAAAUUAAGAUCUAACUAACUCCAUUCAGAACUUUGGUCUGAAAAAAAUUUACAGCCUACACAUUCAUGACUGGAUUCAUGGAGCACAUUCAAAUAAUGGAGACCUUUUUCUCAGAGACAUUAUUCUCCAAGGACUCUGAUAAACUUCCAGCAGAUUUGUGUUCUUUUGGAGAUGCCUGCUGAAGAGUUUCAUUCUCUGUGGUAGAGGAGGAAAUCCUGCCAAAUUUUGAUAAAGUUCACAAUAAAGAUUUUAGAUUUCAAUAUUGUUUUAGCGUUCAUGGGUCAAAACAUAAAAAAAAAUCAAUAUCACCUCUACUUUCAAAAUAAAUAAAUUAUUCCAUUUUGAGAUUAGCUACUACCUAAAAAAUUUUACUUUUCAUUUUCAGCAGUAGUGGAAGUUGACAUCUUCCUGCCCAGCAGCUAAGAUACAACACAGAUGAAUAUAGAGAAAAAUUCUACCUUAUCUUUUGAGAAGGAAAAAAAAAAGGUUAAAAUAAGGGGUGAAAGUGAUAAAAAAAAUAGUGUAAGGAAGAAUGGAGAAAACCUAUGAAAGAGAAAAAUAGUUAUAAUCCAUUAUCUGAAAAUACAAUUGAAAUGGAGCUAAUAAUGUGUAAUUAUCAAAAGGUCAAAAUGAUAUUUUUUCAUCAUACAAAAGGUGUAAAGCUAUUAAAGUCUAACAUAUGUCCAGGAUGCACAAUCUAAGAUCAUCAAGAAAGAUCUACCUAUAAAACCCGUUUGAAUACAACUCUGGGUCUACCACAUGAACCCUUGAGAAUUUAAACAGCCUUCAAGAUGUGGAUUUAGAAGUCUUAUGAGAGCAAUGGAAUUCUUCAGCAUGUGUUCCUGUAUAUACAAGUUAACUUCCAAAGUCGAUUUUAACCUGACAAGAACAACUUAGAAGAGAAAAGGUUGAUUUUGGCUCACAGUUUCAGAAGUUCAGUUCAUCAUCAGUGGACACCAUAGCUGUGGUCCCAGGUAGAAGGGUAUGGUGAAGGAAAGCCUCACAGGACAUGUUAACCAGUCAGCAAAGAGAAAGCUCCACUCAACAGGGAGAGAAUAUAAACCCCAAAGGCCCUCCUCAGUCACUUGUGUCCAGUCGUACCCUCUCUGCCCACCAUUACCACCCAGUUAACUCAUAUCCCCUAAGAAAGUUACAAUUCUCAUAAUCUAGUCACUUUAUCUCUUCUUGCAUUGUCUCAUACAUGAGUAUUUGGAAAGUAUCUCCUAUCUAAACCAUCUCAUUCCACCCCAGCCCCUGAAAGCUCAUGCUCCAUUCAGAAAGCGAAAUACAUUUCUUCCAUUUUUAAGAUUCCCCAUAGUCGUAACAGUUCCAGUAUUACCCAAAAAUACAAAUCCAAAAUCUCACCUGAGACUCAAGGCCAACUCAUUAAUAUUUUCUCCUGUGAAGACCAUAUAUCCAAUAUAUAAUGGUACAAAAUAAAUAUUUACUUUCCAUAAGGGAGAAAUAGGACCAUAGAAAGGAAGGAGGGGCCAAAGCAAAAUUGAAAUCCAGCAGGGCAAACAAGUCCUAUAGUUCCAUGGCCAACAUUUGGGCCAGAUGACAUCAUCGUGUUCUCUCCAAAGGGCUUGUAUAGCUCUGCCUCUGUGGCCUAGCUGGUUGCAGCCCACAUGAACUCUUUCUUGGCUUGGUGCUCAAUUCCUGCAUUUUUCCUUAGCAGACAUUCCACUUUGUUGGCAUCUCUUAAUCUCACAGGUCAUUACUAAAGCUUUGGCCUCCUCACAUCUUCAUACAUCAUCCUCUUUGGAGCUGCCUGCAGGGAUUCCAACCCUGCUACACUUUUUCUAGCCUCAAAGGUCUUCUUUUAAAAUAUGGAUGGAAACCUCUAUGACAACCUGCUAUGGUUUGCAUGUGAGAUAUCCCCUAAAAGCUCAUAUGUGAGAAAAUGCAAAAAGGUUCAAAGGAGAAAUUAUUGGGCUGUGAGAGGCUUAACCCAAUCAAUGAAUUAAUUUCCUGAUAGGGAUUAAUUGAGUGAUAAUUAAAGAGGUAGGGUAUGGCUGGAGGAGUAAGAAUUGGGGGUAUGGCUUUGGGGUAUAUAUAUCUGUAUAUGGCAGUGUAUUCUCUCUUCUCUCUCUCUGUCUCUCUCCCUCCCUCCCUCCCUCCCUCCCUCCCUUCCUGCCUUUCUCUCCUUUCUGAUCAACAUGUGAGAUAUUUUCCUCUGCCAUACUCUUCUGCCAGGAUGUUCUGCCUCACCUGGAGCUCCGAGGAAUGGAGCAGCCUUCUAUGGACUAAGACCUCUGAAACUGUGAGCCCCCCUAAAUAAAUUUUUCCUUCUUUACAGUUGUUCUGGUAGGGUCUUUCAGUCACAGCAGUGGAAAAGUUGACUAAAAAACACCCUAAUUCCAGCAUCCUGUAGUCCUGCACAACCAUACCAAGGUGGUUCAUGCCAAGGUCUGCACCAUCUUGAGCAGUAGCCAAGCCCCAAGGUACCAUGACUAUAGAAGCCUUUGAAUGUAUAAGUGACUGGGAACAAUAAAACCACUUCCUCGGCCUCCUGUGCAAGCAAGGUGCCCCACUGGUCUCUUCUCAAAGGAAUUUUUACUUUUACACCUUUGAGCCUACAAUGGGCAUGAUCUUGCCAAUUCUUGAUUGCCAUCUCUCCUGUUGGCAUUAUGUAAAGUACUUACCUUCUCUUUAGUCAAUAUAAUCUCUGUAACAACCACAACUUCCUUUGCACCAGUUUUACUUGCACUUUUCCAGCCAAGCUACAAGAUUUUCAAAUCUUUUGCUCUGCUUUCUACUUAUGAUUAUAAUAGUAAGCUUGUUUAAAAGCCACCAGCAAUGUCCAUUCCACUGCCUGAGAGCUAUGCUCCUUGAAAUUUUCUCUGCCACAUUCAGACUCACAGAAAAUCUUAGGAAACAGGCAAAAUGUAGAAAACAUUUUUACCAGAAUGAAACGUGAGUGGCCUCUAGUACAAUUUCCAAUAGAGUCCUUCCUCUGAAAACUCACUAACCCAGUCUUUACUGUCCACAGUCAUACUGGAAUUCUGAUCUUCUAGGCUUUCACCAGAAUCACCCACUAAGCUCACUUAUGACAUUAUAAAGAUUUUUCAGCUUACAUCUCUAAAUUUUUCAAAAUCCCUCCUACAAACAAGUAACAAAGACUUCUGAACUACAUAGUCACAGCAACUUCCUUACUUCUUAGUACCAAUUUCUGGUUUAAUCAGAUUUUCAUUGCUGUGACCACAAGACCUAACAAGAAAAACUCAGAGGAGGAAAUGUUUAUUUUGGCUCAUGGUUUCAUAGGUUUAGUCCAUCGUCAGCUCACAGCAUAGCAGAACACAAUGGCAGAAGCAAAUGGCAGAGGAAAGUAGUUUGAACAUGGCAACCAAGAAGCAGAGAAAGAAUUCUGCUCACCUGGGACAAAAUAUAAACUCCAAAGUCAUUCUCCCCAGUGACCUACUUCUUCCAGCCACACCCUACAUGCCAGUUAAUUAACUACCAAUUAUCAGUAUCAAUGAAUAAAUCUACUAAUUAAAUUACAGCUUUCACAAUCUAUUUCACCUCUGAACUUUCUGUGUUGUCUCAUACUUAAGCUUUUGGGUUACAUCUCAUAUCUAUAUAAUAACAGCAUUAUUAUAAAUUUUCAUUUUAGCCAUUCAAGUACAUAUGCAGUGGUAUUAGUCUAUUUUUUUAAUUUGCAACUCCUUAACAAAUAAAUUAUAUUUAAAUUUCUUAAUGUUAUUAUAUGUC